CACUUCAACAGGAAAGUAUUAUACUAAAAUUGGAAUGAUACAGAGAAGAUUAGCAUGGCCCCUGUGCAUGGAUGACAUGCAAAUUCAUGAAGCAUUCCAUAUUUAG
ensembl:snRNA U6 U6 spliceosomal RNA